rnacentral:rRNA from 1 species
UACGUAGGGUGCGAGCGUUGUCCGGAAUUAUUGGGCGUAAAGGGCUCGUAGGCGGUUUGUCGCGUCGGGAGUGAAACACCGGGCUUAACUCGGUGCUUGCUUUCGAUACGGGCAGACUAGAGGUAUGCAGGGGAGAACGGAAGUUCCUGGUGAGCGGUGAAAUGCGCAGAUAUCAGGAGGAACACCGGUGGCGAAGGCGGUUCUCUGGGCAUUACCUGACGCUGAGGAGCGAAAGUGUGGGGAGCGAACAGG